rnacentral:lncRNA from 1 species
CACGAGGCUGGGCUCCGACAUCCUCAAACCCUGAGGCCCCCGCCUUCAGAGGCAACGUUCUCCUGCGUGGCUGGAGUUUGCUGAUGCGAAAGUGAAGAAAUCCAAGGUGCUGGCUACAAAGCUUCCUGUCAGAAGUGAAAGUUACAUUCCCUGGAGAGGGGACUACAUAACCCCCCUUCUGUUCCAACAUUCUGUGAUGUAAUAUCCUUCAAGACCCCACCCACAGAAGGAAUGCUGGAUAUUGCGGAGACGGGAGUCCCAUCAUCCCUCCACUUGUUCAUCAAUGGCUUUCUGAAGAGAAAGUGUAGAUGUGUGCCAGAUUGUGGAUAUCAAAAAUUGCCACAACGCUACCUCCUGUCCCCCACGGUCUUCUUGCAAUGAUGUUGACUCUGCCCAUUUGAGAGCCCUUUGUCACCAGAGUCCUGAUUACUGAGACUUGAAGGGGAUGAAAUUCUCCAAGUCAUGCAAGACAGAGUAACAUACCACAUCUUCAGCUUUAUUUCAAAGACAUCUACCAGUAAGCACCUCGAGAUUAUCUUUCACUUGAAAAUCGAGAAGAGGCAAACCUUCUAGCAGAAAGCUCCUGGACUUUAUCUAAACAGAGCUGGAUUGGCAGUUCAAAGAUGAGCGGCUAUGAGCAAGUCACUGCAUCUCUUAGAGGCUCUAUUUAUUCACUUAAAACUGAGGAAAUAUUAUGUAUUACAGGGAUGUUGUAAAAAAUGGUGAAUGUUUUUUGUGUCCACACAAAUACAUGUACAGUCAUGCGUCACUUAACAAUGGGGAUACAUUCUGAGAAAUGGCUCAUUAGACCAUCUCGUUGCUGUGCAAACAUCAUAGCACUCACUUCCACAAACCUGGAUGGCACAGCCUUCUACACACCUGGGCUGUGUGGUACUGAUCUUAUGGGACCACCAUCUAUAUGCGGUCGUCGUUGACCGAAACAUCGUUAUGCGGCGCACGACUGUACACACGUAUAUAGGUAAACACACACACGCACAUUAUUG